rnacentral:tmRNA from 1 species
GGGGGUGACCGGCUUUGACGGUCUGUACUUUGAAAGACGUGCGGCGCAGUGCUCUCCCGCCAACACUUUAAAAGGGCAGGGAAACAUACUUGCAAAGAACACUCUUGCAAGCGCGUUAAAGUCGCCUUACUUCGGUAAGGUCGGCGAUAUCGCGUUCGCCUACGCGACGGCCCGCGGCUAAACCCCGCCAGUCUCGCCUAGCGCGACGUCUGUCUUCUAACGGCGCUCACAGCGCGGAAGACGGGCGGAAUCAUCUGUGAGCUAGAGCUCUGUGUCGUCCAACCAGCGCUCGAACCUGCGGACUCGGAGUUGUAUGGUUUCGUUCCGAUUCUUCACAUCUUCUCUUAAACUUCAAUCGGGACUACGCGCCGUAGACUCUCUUUCAUAGACGGAUUCGGACCGGGGUCCAAUUCCCCGCACCUCCACU